AAUCGAACCCGGAGAUAGCUGGUUCUCCUCGAAAUAGCUUUAGGGCUAGCCUCAUGGAUCAUUGAUGGGGGUAGAGCACUGAAUGUGCGCGGGGGCCACAAAGCCUACCAAACGCUAUCAAACUUCGAAUACCAUACAAUGCAGACCAUGGGAGUCAGUCCGCGAGAGAUAAGUUCCGCGGGCAAAAGGGGAACACCCCAGAUCAACCGCUAAGGUCCCCAAGUUCACGUUAAGUGGAGAAGGAUGUGGAAUUGCACAGACAACCAGGAUGUUGGCUCAGAAGCAGCCACACAUUUAAAGAGUGCGUAAUAGCUCACUGGUCGAGUGAUUGUGCGCCGAAGAUGUCCGGGGCUAAACGUGACACCGAAGCGAUGGGUGCAUCUGAAGAAGAUGCGCGGUAGAGGAGCAAUGUGCAGAGGCAGAAGCCGUAUCGAGAGGCACGGUGGACACUGCACAAGAGAGAAUGCCGGUAUGAGUAGCGAGAGGCAUGCGAGAAACAUGCCCGUCGAAAGCCCAAGGUUUCCUGGGGAAGGUUCAUCCGCCCAGGGUAAGUCGGGGCCUAAGCCGAGGACGGAAGUCGUAGGCGAUGGACAGCAGGUGUAGAUUCCUGCACUACCGAUGGAAUGAAGCAGUGACACAGAAGGAUAACUCGAGCAGGGUGAUGGUCAACCCUGUGCAAGCAUCAAGGUUGGGUUGUAGUGAAGUACGCAACCCUAUAAGCUGAGGUGUGAUGCGGACCGAAAUUUCAGUAGGGAAGCGAGUGAGUUCACGCUGGCGAGAAAAGCUGCUAGUACAUCCAAAGGUACCCGUACCGGAAACCGACGCAGGUGGGCGAGGAGAGAAUCCUGAGACGAACGGGAGAACCCUUGUUAAGGAACUCGGCAAAAUGACCCCGUAACUUCGGGAUAAGGGGUGCCUGCGAGAGCAGGCCGCAGAGAAUAGUCACAAGCGACUGUUUAGCAAAAACACAGGUAUCUGCGAAAGCGAGAGCUGACGUAUAGGUGCUGACACCUGCCCGGUGCUGGAAGGUUAAGGGAACAUGUUAGAGCAAUCGAAGCAUCGAACCGAAGCCCCAGUAAACGGCGGCCGUAACUAUAACGGUCCUAAGGUAGCGAAAUUCCUUGUCGGGUAAGUUCCGACCCGCACGAAUGGUGUAACGACUUGUGAGCUGUCUCAACAGGGGGCCCGGUGAAAUUGAAGUAUGGGUGAAGAUGCCCAUUACCCGCGACUGGACGGAAAGACCCCGUAGAGCUUUACUGCAGCCUGAUAUUGAGUUUCGGUAACUGAUGCACAGGAUAGGUGGGAGUCUGAGAGACAUGGGUUUCGGCUCAUGUGGAGACGGUGUUGGGAUACCACUCUUCGGUUACUGAAAUUCUAACAUAGCUCUGUGAAACCAGAGGAUGGACAGUGUCAGGUGGACAGUUUGACUGGGGCGGUCGCCUCCGAAAGAGUAACGGAGGCGCCCAAAGGUACCCUCAGAAUGGAUGGAAACCAUUCGAAGAGCGCAAAGGCAGAAGGGUGCCUGACUGCGAGAUUGACAAAUCGAGCAGAGACGAAAGUCGGGCUUAGUGAUCCGGCGGUAUUGAGUGGAAAAGCCGUCGCUUAACGGAUAAAAGCUACCUCGGGGAUAACAGGCUGAUCUCCCCCAAGAGUCCACAUCGACGGGGAGGUUUGGCACCUCGAUGUCGGCUCAUCGCAUCCUGGGGCUGUAUUCGGUCCCAAGGGUUUGGCUGUUCGCCAAUUAAAGCGGUACGCGAGCUGGGUUCAGAACGUCGUGAGACAGUUCGGUCCCUAUCCGGCGUGGGCGUAGGAUAUCUGAGAGGAGCUGUCCUUAGUACGAGAGGACCGGGAUGGACUGACCUCUGGUGCACCAGUUGUUCCGCCAGGAGCAUGGCUGGGUAGCUAAGUCGGGAAGGGAUAAACGCUGAAAGCAUCUAAGCGUGAAGCCUCCCUCAAGAUGAGAUUUCCCAUAGCAUAAGCUAGUAAGACCCCUUGA
rnacentral:rRNA from 1 species